AGUAAAUAAAAAAUCCGUGCACAUUACAUUUAGCCCCAAAAUGCCUCUCUAUCUGGUGGAGCGACACCAAAACUAAGCUUUAUCAUUUUCCAGAGAAUCGUCUCUUUGGGUAAUCGGAGAAUCACAAAAAAAAAAUGGGAACCAUAGGAUGAGCUAUUUACACUGGGUAAUUGGAUUCAUGGGACUGGUCAAGCUUUUGAUCGUGUUGGUUCUCUUCUUCAAGGAAGCCGCGACAUCUGUCGAGGCAUCGGGCGUUGAUGAAUGUGUUUGAUUCACCAAACACGUAUUGGCGCCGCAUCCAAUUACAAUGGAAAUCGAAAGAUAAGAUUUUAUCGUUAAAAAAAAAAUCAAUUAGAUCUUUAUUUAAAGAAAUUGUCUUCUUUAAAUUGCAUUCGAGAAUUUUCUAUAUCAUAUAUCCAAAUCCAACUAAGUGAAACAAAAUUUGCCAGAAGAAACGCAAAAUUAUAUAUAUAUGAAAGGGAAUGUAUACAAUAGUGUAACAUAAUAUCAAAACGCAAUUAAAGGAUUUACGGAGAAUGAUUGAAACCAAACCUUUUCAAUUUAACCUUUUUUAUUGCCACUCUUUUUAUCCAACGUAUCAGAGCAAGACUCUAUCAUUGUCAAGCACAAACCCUUUCUUGUCAUCCACAAAUCUGCAGAAAACAAUAAAAACAAAAAGAAUGAAUUUGGAAACUGAUUGUAAUGUUUGAGUUCAGAAUCUCACCAGUUUUGGUUGUGUAUUGCUGUCAUGAUGCAGAAUCUUAAUUUGGACUUGUCAUGCGAUUUUGUAAAGCCGCUUAUAAGAUAGUCAAAAGAAACAACCAUGGAGAUAUUGAAAAGCUUUCUUCAUGGAUGUAAAAGGGAAAUCUUCUCAAAAGAUACAUUAACAACGAUUGACGAAAAUUUAGGAAUAUCCGAAGUUAUGAUUUGCGGGUUAUCUCAUAACUUUUUUAGGAAAGUCUCAAAUUAUUUGGAUCCAAAUAAUUAAUUCCGGGUCAAAAUUUCGGGUCAAAAUUUUGACCCGAUUAGGGACCCAAAAACUGUUGCAAAAAUGUAUAGUAGAUGGGUUUGUUUGGAAACUAGUACGUUUACAAAUAUAAUUAUAAAAGUAGUACGGUUACUAUUCACAUUUGUAGAAGUAGUACGGUGAGACCUGUUUGUGAGAUAUAGAAUAGUGAGAUAGAAAUAUUAGUGGGUUUUAGAAAAGACCAAAAAUGGCUUUUGUUUGUCUCUGAGAAAAAGAAACGUGGGUGUGAGAAAGAGAGAGAGAGAUGUGGGUCAGACGUGGGUCAGGCUUAUUAAAUUACAUUCCUUCAAAGUUUAAUAAUUAAAAUGAUCGUUCGUAAAUUUUAUUUUUGUAAAAUAGAUCAUAUACAUAAAAAU